rnacentral:rRNA from 1 species
AUAAUGGGUCAGCGACUUAUAUUCUGUAGCAAGGUUAACCGAAUAGGGGAGCCGAAGGGAAACCGAGUCUUAACUGGGCGUUAAGUUGCAGGGUAUAGACCCGAAACCCGGUGAUCUAGCCAUGGGCAGGUUGAAGGUUGGGUAACACUAACUGGAGGACCGAACCGACUAAUGUUGAAAAAUUAGCGGAUGACUUGUGGCUGGGGGUGAAAGGCCAAUCAAACCGGGAGAUAGCUGGUUCUCCCCGAAAGCUAUUUAGGUAGCGCCUCGUGAAUUCAUCUCCGGGGGUAGAGCACUGUUUCGGCAAGGGGGUCAUCCCGACUUACCAACCCGAUGCAAACUGCGAAUACCGGAGAAUGUUAUCACGGGAGACACACGGCGGGUGCUAACGUCCGUCGUGAAGAGGGAAACAACCCAGACCGCCAGCUAAGGUCCCAAAGUCAUGGUUAAGUGGGAAACGAUGUGGGAAGGCCCAGACAGCCAGGAUGUUGGCUUAGAAGCAGCCAUCAUUUAAAGAAAGCGUAAUAGCUCACUGGUCGAGUCGGCCUGCGCGGAAGAUGUAACGGGGCUAAACCAUGCACCGAAGCUGCGGCAGCGACGCUGAUGCGUUGUUGGGUAGGGGAGCGUUCUGUAAGCCUGCGAAGGUGUGC